GCCAUAUACACAGGCCUUACCCAAAGCCAUAUACACAGGCCUUACCCAAAGCCAUAUACACAGGCCUUACCCAAAGCCAUACACAGGCCUUACCCAAAGCCAUACACAGGCCUUACCCAAAGCCAUACACAGGCCUUACCCAAAGCCAUACACAGGCCUUACCCAAAGCCAUACACAGGCCUUACCCAAAGCCAUACACAGGCCUUACCCAAAGCCAUAUACACAGGCCUUACCCAAUGCCAUACACAGGCCUUACCCAAAGCCAUAUACACAGGCCUUACCCAAAGCCAUAUACAGGCCUUAUCCAAAGCCAUAUACACAGGCCUUACCCAAAGCCAUAUACACAGGCCUUACCCAAAGCCAUAUACAGGCCUUAUCCAAAGCCAUAUACACAGGCCUUACCCAAAGCCAUAUACAGGCCUUACCCAAAGCCAUAUACACAGGCCUUACCCAAAGCCAUAUACACAGGCCUUACCCAAAGCCAUAUACACAGGCCUUAUCCAAAGCCAUAUACACAGGCCUUACCCAAAGCCAUAUACACAGGCCUUACCCAAAGCCAUAUACAGGCCUUACCCAAAGCCAUAUACAGGCCUUACCCAAAGCCAUAUACAGGCCUUACCCAAAGCCAUAUACAGGCCUUACCCAAAGCCAUAUACAGGCCUUACCCAAAGCCGUAUAUAAGACUUACUCAAAGCCAUAUACACAGGCCUUACCCAAAGCCAUAUACAGGCCUUACCCAAAGCCAUAUACACAGGCCUUACCCAAAGCCGUAUAUAAGACUUACUCAAAGCCAUAUACACAGGCCUUACCCAAAGCCAUAUACAGGCCUUACCCAAAGCCGUAUAUAAGACUUACUCAAAGCCAUAUACACAGGCCUUACCCAAAGCCAUAUACAGGCCUUACCCAAAGCCAUAUACAGGCCUUACCCAAAGCCGUAUAUAAGACUUACUCAAAGCCAUAUACACAGGCCUUACCCAAAGCUGUAUAUAAGACUUACUCAAAGCCAUAUACACAGGCCUUAUCCAAAGCCAUAUACACAGGCCUUACCCAAAGCCGUAUAAAAUACUUACUCAAAGCCAUAUACACAGGCCUUAUCCAAAGCCAUAUACACAGGCCUUACCCAAAGCCGUAUAAAAUACUUACUCAAAGCCAUAUACACAGUCCUUAUCCAAAGCCAUAUACACAGGCCUUACCCAAAGCCAUAUACAGGCCUUACCCAAAGCCAUAUACAGGCCUUACCCAAAGCCAUAUACAGGCCUUACCCAAAGCCGUAUAUAAGACUUACUCAAAGCCGUAUACACAGGCCUUAUCCAAAGCCAUAUACACAGGCCUUACUCAAAGCCAUAUACACAGGCCUUACUCAAAGCCGUAUACACAGGCCAUACCCAAAGCCAUAUACACAGGCCUUACUCAAAGCCGUAUACACAGGCCAUACCCAAAGCCAUAUACACAGGCCUUACUCAAAGCCGUAUACACAGGCCAUACCCAAAUCCAUAUACAGGCCUUACCCAAAGCCAUAUACACAGGCCUUACUCAAAGCCCCAUAUAUAAGACUUACUCAAAGCCAUAUACACAGGCCUUACCCAAAGCCAUAUACAGGCCUUACCCAAAGCCAUAUACACAGGCCUUACCCAAAGCCGUAUAUAAGACUUACUCAAAGCCAUAUACACAGGCCUUAUCCAAAGCCAUAUACAGGCCUUACCCAAAGCCAUAUACACAGGCCUUACCCAAAGCCAUAUACACAGGCCUUACCCAAAGCCAUAUACACAGGCCUUACCCAAAGCCAUACACAGGCAUUACCCAAAGCCAUACACAGGCCUUACCCAAAGCCAUACACAGGCCUUACCCAAAGCCAUACACAGGCCUUACCCAAAGCCAUACACAGGCCUUACCCAAAGCCAUACACAGGCCUUACCCAAAGCCAUACACAGGCCUUACCCAAAGCCAUACACAGGCCUUACCCAAAGCCAUAUACACAGGCCUUACCCAAAGCCAUACACAUGCCUUACCCAAAGCCAUACACAGGCCUUACCCAAAGCCAUAUACACAGGCCUUACCCAAAGCCAUACACAGGCCUUACCCAAAGCCAUAUACACAGGCCUUACCCAAAGCCAUACACAUGCCUUACCCAAAGCCAUACACAGGCCUUACCCAAAGCCAUAUACACAGGCCUUACCCAAAGCCAUAUACACAGGCCUUACCCAAAGCCGUAUAUAAGACUUACUCAAAGCCAUAUACACAGGCCUUACCCAAAGCCGUAUAUAAGACUUACUCAAAGCCAUAUACACAGGCCUUACUCAAAGCCGUAUAUAAGACUUACUCAAAGCCAUAUACACAGGCCUUAUCCAAAGCCAUAUACAGGCCUUACCCAAAGCCAUAUACAGGCAUUACCCAAAGCCAUAUACAGGCCUUACCCAAAGCCAUAUACAGGCAUUACCCAAAGCCACACACAGACCUUACCCAAAGCCAUAUACACAGGCCUUACCCAAAGCCAUAUACACAGGCCUUACCCAAAGCCAUACACAUGCCUUACCCAAAGCCAUACACAGGCCUUACCCAAAGCCAUACACAGGCCUUACCCAAAGCCAUACACAGGCCUUACCCAAAGCCAUACACAGGCCUUACCCAAAGCCACAGGCCUUACCCAAAGCCAUAUACAGGCCUUACCCAAAGCCAUAUACAGGCCUUACCCAAAGCCAUAUACAGGCCUUACCCAAAGCCAUAUACACAGGCCUUACCCAAAGCCAUAUACAGGCCUUACCCAAAGCCAUAUACAGGCCUUACCCAAAGCCAUAUACACAGGCCUUACCGAUCUUGGUUUUUAGUCGGUUUAUUUCUCUAUUUUACAAGAAAAUACAGGGAUUUACUGUACUUUUUUCUGCUACCUUUUUCUCUUCAUGGGCUCUGCUCCAUCGUCUCUAUGACGUAAUCUAACAGUGUGGAUGAGAUACUGUCUGACAGAAGUACUUUUCCUCAUACAAAGGAUGCUGCUGAAACAAGUAACUUGUCAUUUAAAAAAAGCAACGUCAGUAAAUGUCUUGAGUUCAGUACCUGUUUUAUUCAAACCGUUAUAACAUGGCCAUAGAGCUUAAUAACAUGGUCAUUAUGUACUCUUAUAACAUGGUCGUAACAUGGUCAUAAUAUGGGUUGUACAAUCCAAGCCAGCUGUAAAAACAUCAUGCAAAUGUCUACUAGUUGUUGGCUUCAUUUCUCAAAUAUGUGUGAGUAAAUGGAUUCAAGUUGUUCCUGAAUGAAUAAUUCUGACAAAUUAGUGUUGGUCGCUUAAUCUGACAUACUUGAUCCCACAUCGUUACAAGGCUGUAAUACGAACUCUAGUCACCAGAAAUGUAGAUUUUAGAUUCAAGCAAAUAUUAAUAAGCAUUUAUAAGUUACUUUGAAGCAAUUAUCUAAUGAAUGUUUCAUAAACAAUGCUAAUAAUACAACUAAAUGCACAGGAAGUAGAGUAUUUACAGAGGAAAAAGGCACAGUGAUGACCGAUUGAUCCUGGUCACAGAGAUCAGCUGGUCUGCAGCUUGGCAACAGGCAAGUGGUGUGUAUAUAUUGUCAUCCUCUCUUGCUUUCAAAUUAGGACAUUCAUGCAGAUUCUUCAUCCACAACAAUGGGAAGACCGGCUUCAUUUUCUUGACUAGGGGCUAAAAUGCAAGCGAGGAAAAUCAUAUUAGAAUGGGUGGACAUUCAAGAAAUAUGAAGCAACAAGUUCACUUUGUAUUUCAUGUAAAUAACCCUUCUCACCUCGUUGCAGUUGUAUCGGCCUCUGCUGUGACCUCAGCUGCUUUUCAGGAGCAAGAACAAACACAAAACAGUCAUCAACCUACAUUCACUAAUCGUUAUGUAUUAAGUGUUAAGAGGCCUGGAAGGGUAAUCCUGAAAUAAAUCCUGAACUACAAAAGCUGCAAUGUCCCUUUUCUGCUGUUUGAAGUCAGUGUAGGGCACCUUAUUUGUAGUGCACUACUUCUGACCAGGGCUCCCUAGGUUUGGUUUGGCACUACUUCUGACCAGGGCUCCCUAGGUUUGGUUUGGCAGGCCGUGAAUCAUUCUGCACCUCAGAGAGGCUGCCCUGCUUUCUGUGUCUCUGUUUCUCUGUGUGCCGCUCUCUGUGUACA
ensembl:lncRNA